AUGCUCAAAUCUCCAAUCACAGUGACUCAGACUCCUGUGAAACCUGCCAAACCAGGAGAAACUGUAGAGAUGAGCUGUAAACUCAGUACAAGUGCCUCAUCUUGCUACGCAUCCUACGGCUGGAACCCCUGUGUGUCCUGGUACUUCCAGAAACCUGGAGAAGCUCCUAAACUCAUCAUUUAUGCUGUAGAUGAUCUCUAUGAUGAGAGUCUCAGUCAAUUCAGUGGGAAUGGAGAAGAAGGAGGAACAGAUUUCACUCUGACCAUCAGUGGAGUCCAGACUGAAGAUGCUGUACAUUAUUACUGUCAGAGUUUACACUACAUCAACAGUAAAGAUGUGUUCACACAGUGAUAAAGAGUCGUACAAAAACCUCCGUCAGUCAGAGUCACAGUGACUGAACUGAAACUGCAGCUG